UUGCACCUCCGUCUGCUGGCCAAGCACAACCCGGAUAACCGGGUCCGCAUCGCCGCGGCAGGGGGCGUGCGGCCGCUCGUCAAGCAACUGGAUUACCACCGUCAGCCCCUCCGCGGGCGGCUUGAUAGGGAGCCCCACAGUCGAGAUGAGCGAGGAGAUGAGGAACAGCACGGGAAAGGGUAGUGUGCAAGAGGAAGGAAGGGCAAUAUUGUCAUUUCUCAUGUAAC
rnacentral:lncRNA from 1 species